rnacentral:rRNA from 1 species
GACGAACGCUGGCGGCGUGCUUAACACAUGCAAGUCGAACGGAAAGGCCCUGCUUUUGUGGGGUGCUCGAGUGGCGAACGGGUGAGUAACACGUGAGUAACCUGCCCUUGACUUUGGGAUAACUUCAGGAAACUGGGGCUAAUACCGGAUAGGAGCUCCUGCUGCAUGGUGGGGGUUGGAAAGUUUCGGCGGUUGGGGAUGGACUCGCGGCUUAUCAGCUUGUUGGUGGGGUAGUGGCUUACCAAGGCUUUGACGGGUAGCCGGCCUGAGAGGGUGACCGGGCACAUUGGGACUGAGAUACGGCGCAGACUCCUACGGGAGGCAGCAGUGGGGAAUAUUGCACAAUGGGCGGAAGCCUGAUGCAGCAACGCCGCGUGCGGGAUGACGGCCUUCGGGUUGUAAACCGCUUUCGCCUGUGACGAAGCGGGAGUGACGGUAAUGGGUAAAGAAGCACCGGCUAACUACGUG